GGGAGACACUACCAGCCACCACCAUGACCAGCAGCAUGUGAAGAUGCUGGUCCUACAGGCUCAGCCCAUCAGAGUUUCCUUGGAGCGUCUACCGAGCCUCAGUGCCUCAUUAUGACACAACUGAUGACCAUGAGAAUGAUUACCAACCACAUAAGGCUUUCAUUUUGACAAGAGUUCAAAGGCUUACAGGAAGAUGGCGUAGGAAUCACAGAAGAGGCAUCAUCCAAUAAGAGGGAAGAAUUUGGAGAAGCAGAGAGGUUUUUUGGAGUCACUCAAAGCAUACCUCAUAUAGGUGCUGGGUCCUGAUGACAUAAUACAAGCCCGAAUUCAACAACUGACAACGGCAAUUAGGAGGAGAAGCCCUGAUGGAAGUGUUUUAGAACUAUCACCAUGACAACGAGGGCCCGAGCCGUCACUAUGGCGGCACAGUGCUUGAAUGAUGACUGGAGAGAGAGUGUGACACUGUUGGUGAGGAUGUCGAAAAAGAUGCACAGGCAGGGUGCAGAUGUUUCAAAAUUAUGCUUUUGCUUGUCAAACCGAAGUCACUGCUCCCCCUUUCCUUAGUGUUCUCUUUUGGGAAACCUAAAGACAGUCUGUGCAGAUUAAAAGCAAGUAUGACUUUACGAAGUCAUUGCUACUCAUGGCUGUCCCAGUUAGGGAACAACAAAUCAUGCAAUAAAGCACAUAUUACAUAUGCAGUGUUCUUGUGCCCUGAAGCUCUGCCUAUGCUGUUUAUUGGAGAGCCUGGGGCUUUUUGUUUGCUUGUUUAUUUAAACAGGAUUUCUCUGUGUAGCCCUGGCUGUCCUAGAACUUGUUCUGUAGUUCAGGCUGGCCUCCAACUCAGAGAUCUGCCUGCUUCUGUCUCCCAAAUGCUGGGAUUAAAGAUGUGUGUCACAUUUUCUUUCUACAGCCACCAUAAAGAUUUCUGUCCAACAUUUAAAUAAAAAAUUUACGUGUG